UAGGGAAUCUUCCACAAUGGACGCAAGUCUGAUGGAGCAACGCCGCGUGAGUGAAGAAGGUUUUCGGAUCGUAAAGCUCUGUUGUUGGUGAAGAAGGAUAGAGGUAGUAAUUGGCCUUUAUUUGACGGUAAUCAACCAGAAAGUCACGGCUAACUACGUGCCAGCAGCCGCGGUAAUACGUAGGUGGCAAGCGUUGUCCGGAUUUAUUGGGCGUAAAGCGAGCGCAGGCGGAAGAAUAAGUCUGAUGUGAAAGCCCUCGGCUUAACCGAGGAACUGCAUCGGAAACUGUUUUUCUUGAGUGCAGAAGAGGAGAGUGGAAUUCCAUGUGUAGCGGUGGAAUGCGUAGAUAUAUGGAAGAACACCAGUGGCGAAGGCGACUCUCUGGUCUGCAACUGACGCUGAGGCUCGAAAGCAUGGGUAGCGAACAGG
rnacentral:rRNA from 1 species